rnacentral:rRNA from 1 species
UACGUAGGGAGCAAGCGUUGUCCGGAAUCAUUGGGCGUAAAGCGCGCGUAGGUGGCCCGGUAAGUCCGCUCUGAAAGUCACAGGCUCAACCUGUGAAAGCGGGUGGAUACUGCCGGGCUAGAGUCCGGAAGAGGCGAGUGGAAUUCCUGGUGUAGCGGUGGAAUGCGCAGAUAUCAGGAGGAACACCACGGCGAAGGCAGCUCGCUGGGACGGUACUGACACUGAGGCGCGAAAGCGUGGGGGAGCGAACAGG